AUCUCUGUCUGGAGAUCAUCCCUCUUGGAGCCCUUCUGCAAGCCGAGGAUGCAGGCUUCCUGAGCAGUGAUGGAAGAAAGGGUGAAUGCUUCUGACAGCAAGUGACUGCAGUGUAUGUUAGAGGCUUGAUGGAGCAAGCGAGGCUACAAAUGAAGUGGUACAGGAAGAGAAAUGGACAUGGCACGUGGCAGAUAAAGAUGUCUUCGAGGCAGUCUGCUGCUGAUAGAGGUCUGCAAUUCAUAAAAGGAAGUAGUCUGAAUUCCCAGAAGCACACAGGUUGCCAUGUUGGACAUUACAUUGCAUGCUUUCAAGUCACACUCAAAAGCUGCUUGGAAAGUGCAGAGAAUAUACAAGUUUUCCAUAUUUUCCAAAAGCUAUGUUUCUCUAUAAUCUCUAAGUUGAUAUAUUUUUCUAUCAAUACCAGAAUGGAAAUUCUAAGCAGCCCCCUUUUUUGCUGAGUAAAGCCACACCACAAGGCUGGAUGCUCAGCUGCUGUAAACCCACAGGCUUCCCUCACAUCAGAGCAGCUUUGCUUAUUCACACAUCAAGCAAUGAUGUGGCCCUGGGUUUCUUCUCAAAGUUAUAUCAUCAUUGCAAGCCAUUCAUACUGAUUUGCAGAGCCUCCAGAUGACAGAUGUAAUGAUGAAUCAUACUUCAUUAAAUAGAAGAGCCCAAGUGCUUUGAAGGUCAGAUUAAGCUCAGCUCCUUACCAAGGUUAUUUUGACAUUACCAUAUGCAAGUGUCACAAAACACUGGAGAAGACCAUUGGAUUAACGAUGGCAUCAGCAGCAUUAAACAAUUCUUGCUAG
ensembl:lncRNA